rnacentral:lncRNA from 1 species
CAGAAGCAAGAGCCUUUCCCAGCCCAGCCGGUUGCAAAGCAUCAUGGGAGACAGGUGGGGCGUGGUUUUUCCUCAAAUUGCAACCCAUCACAAUGCUCUGGUGAAUAACUGCAUCCCUCCGUGGCACCUGCACUCAGGACUCCAGGGAACUCACGUCCAUCUUCUCUCUGGCUACAGUCUCCGGAGAAAGCCGAGCUUGAAGCUGCUGGGGAUCUGGGUCAUCUCCAGGGCGUGUGGUGAGGCGGUGAAAGGAAAUGUGACUUGAAAAAGAUAUUUGGUAUCCAGCAUCAGCUGUGCCGAGUCGCCCCGGUUAUUCAGAAGAGCCUGAGGCUGUUGAGGGUCACCGCCCCGACCAGUCCUUCGUAGGCAAACCAAAGUUCUCCAUCUUCAUUUAAAUGUUCCAGAUCUUCCACAGAGAGCCUGGAGAGCAAAGAAAGAGAGCAAAGAAGCCUUGCCCACCUUUACAUGGCUUGGCUGGAGUUGCAGGUGAUUGUGAGUCACCUGACAUGGCUGCAGGGACCUGAUCUCGGCAGGAGCAGCAAGCACUCUUACCCACGAAACCAUCUGUCU